rnacentral:rRNA from 1 species
CGUAGGGGGCUAGCGUUGUCCGGAAUCAUUGGGCGUAAAGAGCGUGUAGGCGGCCCAGUAAGUCCGCUGUGAAAGUCGGGGGCUCAACCCUCGAAUGCCGGUGGAUACUGUCGGGCUAGAGUGCGGAAGAGGCGAGUGGAAUUCCUGGUGUAGCGGUGAAAUGCGCAGAUAUCAGGAGGAACACCGAUUGCGAAGGCAGCUCGCUGGGACGGUACUGACGCUGAGGCGCGAAAGCGUGGGGAGCAAACAGGA